rnacentral:rRNA from 1 species
UCAGGGCACCCGGGGACUCUACGGUAGGCAGCAGUGGGGAAUAUUGCACAAUGGGCGCAAGCCUGAUGCAGCCAUGCCGCGUGUGUGAAGAAGGCUUCGGGUUGUAAAGCACUUUCAGCGAGGAGGAAGGGUUCGGUGUUAAUAGCACCGUUCAUUGACGUUACUCGCAGAAGAAGCACCGCG